CCUACGGGUGACAGCAGUGGGGAAUAUUGCUCAAUGGGGGAAACCCUGAAGCAGCAACGCCGCGUGGAGGAUGACGGUUUUCGGAUUGUAAACUCCUUUUUUUAGAGAAGUUAAUGGCGGUAUCUAACGAAUAAGCACCGGCUAACUCCGUGCCAGCAGCCGCGGUAAUACGGAGGGUGCAAGCGUUACCCGGAUUCACUGGGCGUUAAGGGCGCGUAGGCGGUAUAGUAAGUCAGAUGUGAAAUCUUAUGGCUUAACCAUAGAAUUGCAUUUGAAACUGGUAUCCUAGAGUAUGGGAGAGGUAGGUGGAAUUCUUGGUGUAGGGGUAAAAUCCGUAGAUAUCAAGAGGAAUACUGAUUGCGAAGGCGACCUGCUAGAACAUAACUGACGCUGAUGCGCGAAAGUGUGGGGAGCAAACAGGAUUAGAUACCCCUGUAGUC
rnacentral:rRNA from 1 species